GAGUUUGAUCAUGGCUCAGAUUGAACGCUGGCGGCAUGCUUUACACAUGCAAGUCGAACGGAUCUAGGGGCUUGCUCCUAGGUUAGUGGCGAACGGGUGAGUAAUGCAUCGGAACGUACCGUGUAGUGGGGGAUAACCCGGCGAAAGUCGGAUUAAUACCGCAUACGAUCUACGGAUGAAAGCGGGGGACCUUAGGGCCUCGCGCUAUACGAGCGGCCGAUGUCGGAUUAGCUAGUUGGUGAGGUAAAGGCUCACCAAGGCGACGAUCCGUAGCGGGUCUGAGAGGAUGAUCCCGCCACACUGGGACUGAGACACGGCCCAGACUCCUACGGGAGGCAGCAGUGGGGAAUUUUGGACAAUGGACGCAAGCUGAUCCAGCCAUGCCGCGUGAGUGGAAGAA
rnacentral:rRNA from 1 species